rnacentral:rRNA from 1 species
AGAGUUUGAUCAUGGCUCAGAUUGAACGCUGGCGGUAUGCCUUACACAUGCAAGUCGAACGGUAGAGGGGCAACCCUUGAGAGUGGCGAACGGGUGAGUAAUACAUCGGAACGUGCCCAGUCGUGGGGGAUAACGUAGCGAAAGCUACGCUAAUACCGCAUACGACCUGAGGGUGAAAGCGGGGGAUCGCAAGACCUCGCGCGAUUGGAGCGGCCGAUGGCAGAUUAGGUAGUUGGUGGGGUAAAGGCCUACCAAGCCUGCGAUCUGUAGCUGGUCUGAGAGGACGACCAGCCACACUGGGACUGAGACACGGCCCAGACUCCUACGGGAGGCAGCAGUGGGGAAUUUUGGACAAUGGGCGAAAGCCUGAUCCAGCCAUACCGCGUGCGGGAAGAAGGCCUUCGGGUUGUAAACCGCUUUUGUCAGGGAAGAAAUCUUCUGGGCUAAUACCUCGGGAGGAUGACGGUACCUGAAGAAUAAGCACCGGCUAACUACGUGCCAGCAGCCGCGGUAAUACGUAGGGUGCAAGCGUUAAUCGGAAUUACUGGGCGUAAAGCGUGCGCAGGCGGUUCCAUAAGACAGAUGUGAAAUCCCCGGGCUCAACCUGGGAACUGCAUUUGUGACUGUGGAGCUAGAGUACGGUAGAGGGGGAUGGAAUUCCGCGUGUAGCAGUGAAAUGCGUAGAUAUGCGGAGGAACACCAAUGGCGAAGGCAAUCNCCUGGACCUGUACUGACGCUCAUGCACGAAAGCGUGGGGAGCAAACAGGAUUAGAUACCCCGGUAGU